GCUGUUAGCACAGAGCCCUACGUGGGGCUCGAACAGUGAGAUCUCAGGAACAGUGAAAUCACGACCUGAGAUGAAGUCGGAUGCUUAACUGACUGAGCCACCCAGGUGCCCCAGAGGCAGAUGUAUUGUUAUCUAAUAAUCAAUGAUAAUUGAGAAAUAAGUAUUACAACUACUUGCUAGCUUCAUACACAUGACCUACACUUAGGACUCUGUGCGGUAUAGGCUAGAGUUUGACACUGUGACUUUUGUCUGUAGGACAGGUGAGUAUGUUGGAGACACUCAGUGGCAGUUCUCCUCCUAACAGACAGAGUCAGGUGCCACACUGCCCUCCUCAAUCCCAGGGCACAGAAGUGUGGAGGGAAAGGUAAACUGCAUUGCGGAGAUGGUUCAAGUGCAUGCCAUGAGAACUCUUUGAAAUCUCAGCAUCCUAUUUCUUCCAAUCUUUACCAAACCAAACAACAACAACAACAACAAAACCCACAACUUUCAAUAGUCUAAGUAACAAAAAUAUACUUUUGAUAGAUCAUUAAGAUACUUUGAGUUUAUUCCAACAGCAGUUCAGCCCUCUGGCUGGAGAGAUUCUUGAUGAUCCCCUUCGAAACUAGUACUUUACUCCCGAUUGUAACCUCUCUUAAUUUUCUACCCUCCGUUACGUUCUUACAUCCUUGCCUUUCACUUCCUAACCUCAGUGUCCACCAUGUCAGUCCCUUGGAGUAUGUUCUACGAAGGAUGUCCCAAGCAUUGAGAGCAUAGAAUUACCGGGCUGUUUGUUAGGAAUUCAGAUUCUGGAGCACCGUCCUAAAAGAUUCUGAUUUGGAAUACACUUUAGUAUAGGAUUUUCCGUCAAUUUGGACUCCCUUUUGUUCUUCAGCCCCAGCCCCACCAUUAGCAGUUCCCCAAACUGGUUAUUUCCAUGAUCUGCUUUCUCUUUUCCCUUAGCUGAGCCCGCAUGUUUCCACUACAAAUAUGUGUGGUUAAGCCUAUGUGUUUUAUAGUCAGAGACAUAGGCUGAUCCUGUUACAUGUUCGGUAUGUAUUGGAGAAAUCAGCAAACUACCUUCAGUUAUAAUAUCCUUAUCUGUAACAUAGGAAUUCAUGUAUCAUUCACUCACCCAUGAAUUUAGUUUAUUAACUUAUAUUAAUUUGUGUUUAUAUUUAUAAUACUUGUUGAGUAGAUGCUGUUCUAAGUACUGGAGAUAUAAUGAACAAUAUCUAAAGGUUCCACAGACCUUACAAUUUCAUUAAAUAUUAGCAUUUAAAGCGUAUAGUUGAGAAGAUUUAAUGAAAGCAUUAUAGUAGCUAAUGCAUAUACCAGUGUUUAAGUGCCAGACAAGGUUUUAAGUUCUCUACGUAACACACUUAUUUAUUCCUUGUAAGAAUAGUAUGUGACAGGUACUAUUAUUAUUAUUGUUUAUAUAUGAUGAAAUCGGGCCACAGAAAGUUUAAGUAUUUAUUUCAAAGUCACUUAGCUAAUAAAUGGUAAUGCUGGGAUUUUUAACCCAGGUCAGUGGGGUCUGGAACCCAUCCUCUUAAUCUCUGAUGUGACACUACCUCUGUUUGAGACAUUUAACCUAUCAAAAUCUUGAUGCACGUAUCAGAUUUCUGAAGAAGUCAACCUAAACUACAGAAUGUCUUCAAAACCAAGUCUGUAACUUGAUUGGACACUAAGGUUUUUCAAGAAAGAGUGUGUCAACAAGCAGGAAUAGUCUUGAUGAGUAUUGGGAAAAGAGCGCCUUCCCAACAGCAAAAGUUGGCAAGGUCUGUGAAGCAUUUACAGAGAAGAAAACUAAUGUGACGACAGAUAUUGAAUACUUAGCACUUCGUCAUUGUGCGAAUUGCUUUUCACAGAUUACCCUGAUUCGUCUUGAUGAUCAUUUGCGAAGCAUGUGAUACAUCUAUUUUACAAGAUGAAGAACUGAUGUUAGUACAAGUUGAAUCACUAGUCCAGGGUCUUGCAAUCAGCAAGCAUCUCCAAUUCGAUGGUUUGACCCCAGAACACGCCUUCCUCAUGGCUUCCAAGUGUCAUUUUUUAAAAUACCGGCUGUCACGUUCAAUCUGCAGGAUACAAAACUUCUGGCACUUAGGCUCUUAUUUUUCUCCCAAGUAGCAUCAGGGCUGGGAGAGUGUACUUUGAGACCAUGUAGCAAAAGUGCAUGUCCAGUGCUUGGUGUAGUUCCUGAAUCUUGGGAGCCUGUUUACUCCGAUUGAUCCCCGGGAGACUGAGCAAACAACCCAUCGCUGUGUGCAUUCACUGAGGUGAUGCCGUCCCACACGCAUGGCCUGAGCAAGCCGCCAGCAACAGACUGGAUGUGAAUUUCGGGCACAAGCAGAACAGAAACACUGAACGUCAUUUCUUUUUAAAGCAAGGCAACAAAAGUUGUUCUUAAGGGAGUAUCAGGACUUCAUUGAACUUCAUUACAAGUAAUUUUUUUUGUAAAUUUUUUUAAUGUUUUUAUUUAUUUAUUUUUAAAAUUUUUUUUCAACGUUUAUUUAUUUUUGGGACA